GUCGAGCCUGAUUGUUGGGACAGAGGAACUGAGGAGAUGAGGUUUACAUGGUUUAACUUGAUCUGAUGCGUAUUCACCUUCACUUUCACUUUCUUUCAGGUCACGUAUGCUAUGAGCCAUGUAGCCUACUCAGCUGAUGCGAGUUGUAAACAAAAAUAUCCUCUUCAUGCUCUGAACCGUAAAUUCAAAUCAGUUUAACAGAUUAAGUCUCUCAGGUGACAUAAAGUGGGACAGCUGCUGCUCAAUGGCUUUAAACCCGGAGAAGAUGAUCUGGAUAUUUCUGCUCAUCAGCCUGACCUCCUCUGUCUCUGAACAGUUUCUCUUGAACGUGACCUCUCAUGGAGAGAACAGUGACGUGAUCCUCACCACACCUGAAGCUGUAAAAGAAACACCAGGAGGGCCGGAGGAGGAAGA